rnacentral:rRNA from 1 species
CCUACGGGAGGCAGCAGUGGGGAAUAUUGGACAAUGGGGGGAACCCUGAUCCAGCGACGCCGCGUGAGUGAAGAAGUAUUUCGGUAUGUAAAGCUCUAUCAGCAGGGAAGAAAAUGACGGUACCUGACUAAGAAGCCCCGGCUAACUACGUGCCAGCAGCCGCGGUAAUACGUAGGGGGCAAGCGUUAUCCGGAUUUACUGGGUGUAAAGGGAGCGUAGACGGCAGCACAAGUCUGGAGUGAAAUGCCGGGGCUUAACCCCGGAACUGCUUUGGAAACUGUGCAGCUAGAGUGCAGGAGAGGUAAGUGGAAUUCCUAGUGUAGCGGUGAAAUGCGUAGAUAUUAGGAGGAACACCAGUGGCGAAGGCGGCUUACUGGACUGUAACUGACGUUGAGGCUCGAAAGCGUGGGGAGCAAACAGGAUUAGAUACCCGAGUAGUC